AAGCCUGGCAUGCUGCAGUCCAUGAGGUCACAAAAAGGACAUGACUGAGUGACUGAACUGACUGAGGGGCACGGUCCCCAAGGCUGUGUCCCUUACACCCACAUGACGCUCACUCCAGGCUAACUAGCCUCAGCCCCUGGGACGUCUAAGCUCCACAUCCAUGUGCCGAUGUCCUAAACUGGCCAGAAAAAGGGGCUCCAGGGAGGAUUCCCCCACCCCUUAUUCAGAAAGGAGACAGAUGCCAAGAGGACUUCCUCUUCAAGCUGUUAUCCUCAGAAAUCAUCCUUGAGGGAUGGCGGGAGGAAGGCGCGAGACCGAUCAUCUCAUGAAAAGCAUUCUGAUUUUUCCAUCCGUUGGUGCCAAAAUGUCUUUCAACAAAGGGGGUGACUAAUAGA